AGAUGUACUCGAGGCAAACAAGAAGUUCGAACCGCGUCAGGUCCGGGAGGAAGCAGCGCUAAGAGCAGACCGGUUGUGCCUCUUUUUCAAUUACA
rnacentral:SRP_RNA from 2 species